GUGUAUGUGUGUGUGUGUGCGCGCGUGUGCAAGCAAGGAGCUUCUAACUUAGCUAGCGGCAUGCAGUCAUGAAUUGGGCCCGCUUGUUCAGGCACCGGGUCUGACUCCGGUCCGAUUUGACUGGGGUUUAGCCGUGUUGAUCGGUUCCUUUUUUUUUUUUUUUUUUUUACCUUUUUUUUAACCUUUUUUUUUUUUUUUUUUUUCCUCUCUUUUUUCCUUUCUUUUCUUUUUUUUUCUUUGCUUAUCCUUUUUUUUUUUUUUUUUUUUGCUUCUUUUUCUCAUUCCGUGAAAGUGUUCGGCGCGUUGGUUGGAAGAGGGGUAUCACUGUUAUUGUUAUCAUUGUUAUUCGUUUCAGGUUUUUGUUAGUUUGAUGGGA
rnacentral:sRNA from 1 species